UACGUAGGGUGCGAGCGUUGUCCGGAAUUAUUGGGCGUAAAGGGCUCGUAGGCGGUCUGUCGCGUCGGGAGUGAAAACUCAGGGCUUAACCCUGAGCCUGCUUCCGAUACGGGCAGACUAGAGGUAUGCAGGGAGAACGGAAUUCCUGGUGUAGCGGUGAAAUGCGCAGAUAUCAGGAGGAACACCAGUGGCGAAGGCGGUCUCUGGGCAUUACCUGACGCUGAGGAGCGAAAGUGUGGGAGGCGAACAGG
rnacentral:rRNA from 1 species